CGAACGGGUGAGUAACACGUGGGCAAUCUGCCCUGCACUCUGGGACAAGCCCUGGAAACGGGGUCUAAUACCGGAUACGAGCCUCCCGGGCAUCUGGGAGGUUGGAAAGCUCCGGCGGUGCAGGAUGAGCCCGCGGCCUAUCAGCUUGUUGGUGAGGUAACGGCUCACCAAGGCGACGACGGGUAGCCGGCCUGAGAGGGCGACCGGCCACACUGGGACUGAGACACGGCCCAGACUCCUACGGGAGGCAGCAGUGGGGAAUAUUGCACAAUGGGCGAAAGCCUGAUGCAGCGACGCCGCGUGAGGGAUGACGGCCUUCGGGUUGUAAACCUCUUUCAGCAGGGAAGAAGCGAAAGUGACGGUACCUGCAGAAGAAGCGCCGGCUAACUACGUGCCAGCAGCCGCGGUAAUACGUAGGGCGCAAGCGUUGUCCGGAAUUAUUGGGCGUAAAGAGCUCGUAGGCGGCUUGUCGCGUCGAUUGUGAAAGCCCGGGGCUUAACUCCGGGUCUGCAGUCGAUACGGGCAGGCUAGAGUGUGGUAGGGGAGAUCGGAAUUCCUGGUGUAGCGGUGAAAUGCGCAGAUAUCAGGAGGAACACCGGU
rnacentral:rRNA from 1 species